GGAAUUGCAAGGAUAGGGAGUAGUAGUCGGAACGCCCUUCAGAGAGUGGAACUGCAGCGCUGAGAGGUUCCUCAGGAUACAUCCGAUCGAAGUCGCCCUGGAGCAGUAAAUGUGAGUGUAAGCAUCCGAAUUAUCGGUUCUUGCGUGCAUUAGCAUUUGCCGGUCGCAGCCGUUAUCUGUUUUAAGUGUCAUGUUAUUUGCCAUUGGGGCAAUCGCAUGAAAUGAAGGUGGUACCACGGAAGUUAUACCUUUCGUCCUUUUU
rnacentral:ncRNA from 1 species